rnacentral:rRNA from 1 species
GCGAGAGCAAGCGGACCUCAUAAAGUGCGUCGUAGUCCGGAUUGGAGUCUGCAACUCGACUCCAUGAAGUCGGAAUCGCUAGUAAUCGUGGAUCAGAAUGCCACGGUGAAUACGUUCCCGGGCCUUGUACACACCGCCCGUCACACCAUGGGAGUGGGUUGCAAAAGAAGUAGGUAGCUUAACCUUCGGGAGGGCGCUUACCACUUUGUGAUUCAUGACUGGGGUGAAGUCGUAACAAGGUAACCGUAGGGGAACCUGCGGUUGGAUCACCUCCUUACCUUAAAGAA